rnacentral:rRNA from 1 species
UGAGGAAUAUUGCGCAAUGGACGAAAGUCUGACGCAGCCAUGCCGCGUGCAGGAUGACGGCCCUAUGGGUUGUAAACUGCUUUUUUAUAGGAAGAAACUCAUCUACGUGUAGGUGACUGACGGUACUAUAUGAAUAAGCAUCGGCUAACUCCGUGCCAGCAGCCGCGGUAAUACGGAGGAUGCAAGCGUUAUCCGGAUUUAUUGGGUUUAAAGGGUGCGUAGGCGGGGCUUUAAGUCAGUGGUGAAAUCUUGCAGCUUAACUGUAAAAUUGCCAUUGAUACUGAAGUUCUUGAGUGCGGUUGAGGUAGGCGGAAUGUGUAAUGUAGCGGUGAAAUGCUUAGAGAUUACACAGAACACCGAUUGCGUAGGCAGCUUACUAAGCCGUAACUGACGCUGAGGCACGAAAGUGUGGGGAUCGAACAGGAUUAGAUACCCUGGUAGUCCACACUGUAAACGAUGAUCACUAGCUGUUGG